GUCGAGUGAUCCUGCGCGGAUAAUGUAACGGGGCUAAACACACCGCCGAAGCCGCGCCUUCGAGUAAUCGAGGGGUAGCGGAGCGUCGUGUUUGCGUUGAAGUCGGAGUGUGAACUUCGGUGGAGCGGACACGAGCGAGAAUGCUGGCAUGAGUAGCGAGAGAGGGGUGAGAAUCCCCUCCGCCGAAAGCCCAAGGGUUCCUGGGGAAGGCUCGUCCUCCCAGGGUUAGUCGGGAGCUAAGGCGAGGCCGAAAGGCGUAGUCGAUGCACAACCGGUUGAUAUUCCGGUACCACCACGUGCGCGUCCAUUCCAAUUCUUGGUUGCUAAGGGGCUGUCCUCCCUUCGGGGAGAGGCGAACCGACCCACCUUGAGGCGGAAAGCAAAGAGGGGACGCAGGAGGAUAGGUGAACCCAGGCGAUGGUUGUCCUGGGGCAAGCGAGUAGGACGGGGACUAGGUAAAUCCGGGCCCCAUUAAGUCUGAGACGCGACGCCGAGCCGCUACAGGCGAAGUCAUUGAUUCCAUGCUGCCGAGAAAAGCCUCUAGCGAGUUCACGCGGUGCCCGUACCCCAAACCAACACAGGUGGGCAAGUAGAGAAUACUCAGGCGAUCGGGAGAACUGUGGUUAAGGAACUCGGCAAAUUGCAUCCGUAACUUCGGGAGAAGGAUGACCUCGGUAGGGUGAAAGUCUUACGACUGGAGCUCGAAGAGGUGGCACAAACCAGGGGAAAGCGACUGUUUACUAAAAACACAGCAGCGUGCUAAGUCGAAAGACGAUGUAUACGCUGUGACGCCUGCCCGGUGCCGGAAGGUUACGGGGAACGGUUAGCCCUAGGGCGAAGCUGUGAACCUAAGCCCCGGUGAACGGCGGCCGUAACAAUAACGGUCCUAAGGUAGCGAAAUUCCUUGUCGGGUAAGUUCCGACCUGCACGAAUGGCGUAACGACUUUCCCACUGUCUCAACCACAGACCCGGCGAAAUUGAAGUACGAGUAAAGAUGCUCGUUAGCUACAGAAGGACGGAAAGACCCCGUGGACCUUUACUAUAACUUGGUAUUGGGUUUUGGCAUGGGUUGUGUAGGAUAGGUCGGAGACUAGGAAGCGUGCGCGCUAGCGUGCGUGGAGUCACCCUUGAAAUACGACCCUGCUCAUGUUGAAGCUCUAACCUUGGACCCUUAUCGGGUUCGGGAACAGUGCCAGGCGGGUAGUUUGACUGGGGCGGUCGCCUCCCAAAAAGUAACGGAGGCGCCCAAAGGUUCCCUCAGGCUGGUUGGCAAUCAGCCGUCGAGUGCAAUGGCACAAGGGAGCUUGACUGUGAGACUUACAGGUCGAGCAGGUGCGAAAGCAGGGCAUAGUGAUCCAGCGAUUGCGUGUGGAAGCGUCGUUGCUCAACGGAUAAAAGGUACCCCGGGGAUAACAGGCUCAUCUUCCCCAAGAGUCCAUAUCGACGGGAAGGUUUGGCACCUCGAUGUCGGCUCAUCGCAUCCUGGGGCUGAAGCAGGUCCCAAGGGUUGGGCUGUUCGCCCAUUAAAGCGGUACGCGAGCUGGGUU
rnacentral:rRNA from 1 species